UACAGAGGUGGCAAGCGUUGUUCGGAAUUACUGGGCGUAAAGGGCGCGUAGGCGGCCAUCUAAGUCAGACGUGAAAUCCCCGGCUUAACCUGGGAACUGCGUCUGAUACUGGAAGGCUCGAGUUUGGGAGAGGGAUGCAGAAUUCCUGGUGUAGCGGUGAAAUGCGCAGAUAUCAGGAGGAACACCAAUGGCGAAGGCAGCUCGCUGGAACGGUACUGACGCUGAGGCGCGAAAGCGUGGGGAGCGAACAGG
rnacentral:rRNA from 1 species